rnacentral:rRNA from 1 species
UACGUAGGGAGCGAGCGUUAUCCGGAAUUAUUGGGUGUAAAGGGUGCGUAGACGGGAAAGCAAGUUAGUUGUGAAAUCCCUCGGCUUAACUGAGGAACUGCAACUAAAACUACUUCUCUUGAGUGCGGGAGAGGUAAGUGGAAUUCCUAGUGUAGCGGUGAAAUGCGUAGAUAUUAGGAGGAACACCAGUGGCGAAGGCGACUUACUGGACUGUAACUGACGUUGAGGCACGAAAGUGUGGGGAGCAAACAGG